rnacentral:rRNA from 1 species
CUCUAUUAAAUAUAAUUAAUAGUAAAAUCUGCUCAAUGAACUUUAAAUAGCCGCUAUAAGUGCUAAGGUAGCAUAAUCAUUCGUCUUUUAAUUAAAGACUAGUACAAAAGACUUAACAUUUAAGCUACUCUUUAAAUUAAAAAAUAUAAUUUUUCUUAAAUGUAAAAAGACAUUUAUAAUAAAGAAAGACGACAAGACCCUAUUGAACUUAACUUUAUGUUAAACUGGGGUAGUAAUUUAAUUAAACUUUAAUUAACUAAUUAAACAAAUGAUCUAAUACAAUUAACUAACAAUCAAGUUACCAUAGGGAUAACAGAGCAAUAAAAUUUUCAAGACCUUAUUAAAAAUUUUGAUUACAACCUCGAUGUUGAAUAAUAAUCUAAUACACGCAAUAGAGUAUAAAGAAAGUCUGUUCGACCUUUAAAAAAUUACA